AUUUAAAAUUGUAAUUUCAGUAGCAACUGCAACUUGAAACUUUUAUAUGGGAAGUAUUGUUACUUAUAAAGUAUUUGCUCUUUUCUAGGCAGCUAUUUUUGCUAUGAUAAUCCUGCUGCCCUUCAGACUCAAGUUAAACGAGAUAUGCAAGUGAAUACCACGAAAUUCAUGCUGCUGUAUGCCUGGUAUUCUUGGCCCAAUGUAGUUUUGUGUUUCUUUGGUGGCUUUUUGAUAGACCGAGUAUUUGGAAUACGAUGGGGCACAAUCAUUUUUAGCUGCUUUGUUUGCAUUGGACAGGUUGUUUUUGCCCUGGGUGGAAUAUUUAAUGUUUUUUGGCUGAUGGAAUUUGGAAGAUUUGUAUUUGGGAUUGGUGGAGAGUCCUUAGCAGUUGCCCAGAAUACAUAUGCUGUGAGCUGGUUUAAAGGCAAAGAGUUAAACCUGGUGUUUGGACUUCAACUUA
rnacentral:sRNA from 1 species